ncrna:unclassified sequences S15-Flavobacteria ribosomal protein leader
UAUCUUUGCACCCGCUAUUCCUAUGAGUGGAAUUGCUACAUAAUAAUUAUUUAACUAAAUAUUAGCAUG